rnacentral:rRNA from 1 species
UUUGAGUUUUUUGGCUCUGGGGAUAGUAUGAUCGCAAGAUUGAUAAUUAAAGAAAUUGACGGAAGAAUACCACAAGGAGUGGAUUGUGCGGCUUAAUUUGACUCAACGCGAGGUAACUUACCAAUAUUUUAUUAUUUUGAGAGAACGGUUUUUUGUUUGAGAAUGACCGGGA